UGAUCUAUAAAUAGUGAAUGUGAUGGGAAAGGGUACAAUAUCAAUUUUAGAACAAAAAAUAGGUGUGUGGAAGUCGUAUCAAAUCUGUUGAGAGUUGUCCCCGUCAGCUGUUACAAAAAAGGGUAUGUCAUCAUGUUAAGGAAUGAUACAUGUGAAAUUUCUAGUCCCCCUAGACGAUUUAUUGAUUUUGUGAAAAUGAGUCAAAACACAUUGUUUCCUUUGAAUAUUGAAAAUGUUCAAUCUUGCUACUUGGCGGAAAUGAAAAUUCCUUCAUGGUUGUGGCAUUUUUGAUAUGGUCACUUGAAUUUUGAUGGCUUGAAGAUCCUUCAAAGGAAGAGUAUGGUGACGGGGCAUUAUGAAAUUGUUGUUCCGUCUCAAGUUUGUGAAGAAUGUGUUGUUGGAAAACAACGUCGUUUCAGUUUCCUAAUAGUAAGUCAUGGAGAUCCAAGGAGGUAUUAGGUCAGUACACUCGGAUGUCUAUGGGCCAUUAAGACCAAUCUCUAAUGGGGGCAAAAGGUAUUUCAUUACCUUUAUUGAUGAUUAUUCGAGGAAGACUUGGGUGUACAUUCUGAAAGAAAAAUCAAACGCUUUUAAUGUAUUUAAAAGCUUCAAAGUGUGUGUGGAGAUUGAGACUGGAGGGCCAUUAAGAACCUUCUGAUAGAUCACGAAGGAGAAUAAUUAUCUAAGGUAUUUGAUGAAUUUUGUGAGACUCGUGACAUUUUAAAAGAGCUUAGAACAACAUAUACACCACAGCAAAAUGGUGUGACCGAGAGGAAGAAUAGAACCAUUCUUAACAUGGUUCUUAGCUUGCUGGCUCAGGGAAGAGUUCCAUAGGAAUUUAUGCCAGAACGGUAAAAUGGAGCAUUCUUAUCUUGAACAGAAGUUCCACUUUUUCUCUUCGAGAUGUAAUACCCGAGAAAGUGUGGAGCAGAAGGAAACCGGCAGUAGACCACUACAAAAAUUUUGGAUCAAUUGCUUAUGCACAUAUUCCAAAAGAAAAAAGAAAGAAGCUUGAUGAUAGAGAUUAUAAAUGUGCUUUUCUUGGUGUUAAUGAAACAUGGUGUGCUAGCAUUUGAUGUAAAAAUGAGGUUGCAGCAGUUGUACGUGUGCCUAUUCCACCUGGGAGAUAUGGUGUGUUGACUCAGGUAAAAGAUGAGCUAUCCUAUGUAAGUGUUUACAACGAUUGCGGGGAUGUUUUUUUGUUAGAUAUGUACAGAGGAAUGGACAUGAGUAUGAAUCGUACUGUGUGAGUAAAUCUUGGACGCAAGAAGUCUCAACAAAGAUUGGAGACAUAUCCCUUUGUUGGCAAUGGUACUGUGUUGUGCAGCGUAUUACCGUGUAUAAACGGUGGUGAUGACAUUGUGGUGAUCUACAAAACUGAAAGGAUAUAUAUUUAUUACCUGAAUGGGAAGAAGGUGGAGACUAUUAUGACUCCAACACAAUUAAAUCCUAAGAGAAGAUUCAUACCAUACACAAACAGCCUCGCUGUGAUACAUGAGCUGAAGAAGUAGUUGUUCUGUCAAGUAGAAUUCUCAUGUUUAAUUUCAUCCUCUUUUGUUUUUAUAUGACUUGGAUUGUAGAUUAAGUUGUUUUUCUAAUAGACAUGUUUAGGAUUGACAAUAUAGUUAGAACGUUUUUUCCUCCACUCAUUUUGAAUUAUUUCUUGCUUGAUUGCAUUGUGUUACUUGUGAGUUCCUUUCUACUGUUACUGUUUAAAUUUGACGAUGGAAUGUGUGGUAUGAUCAACACAUUCCACUUUCAUCAGAACGGAACUCACAAGUAAAAACACACAAUCAAGCAAGAAAUAACUAAAAAUGAGUGAUAGAAAAAACGUUCAAUCUACCUUGGCAAUCCAAAACAUGUCUAUCACAAAAAGAACUUAAUCUGCAAUCCAAGUCAUAUAAAAACAAAAGAAGAUGAAAUUAAACAUGAGAAUUCUACUUGACAGCAACAACAACAGAACAACUACUUCUUCAGCUCAUGUAUCGCAAUGAGGCUGUUUGUGUACGGUUGAAUCUUCUCUUAGGAUUUAAUUGUCCUGGAGUCAUAAUCUCCACCUUCUGCCUAUUCAGGUAAUAAAGAUAUAUCCUUUCAGUUGUGUAGAUCACCACAAUGUCAUCACCACUGUUUAUAAAAGGUAAUACACUACACAACACAGUAUCAUUGUCAACAAAGGGAUCUUUCUCCAAUGUUUGCCGAGACUUCUUGUCUCCAAGAUUUACGCACACACUACGAUUCAGACUCAUGUCCAUUCCUCCCUACAUAUCUAACAUAAAAACAUCCCCACAAUCAUUGUAAACAGUUAGAUAGGAUAGCUCAUCCUUUACCUGAGUCAACACACCAUAUCUCCCAGGUGGAAUAGGCACACGUAGAACUGCUGCAACCUCAUUUUUUACAUCAAAUGCUAGCACACCAUAUUCUCCAUAUUCAUCAUACAAGAUAUUCAAUUCUUGACAAAGAAGGUUGUGACUGGAAGAGAUGUUUUUGAUGAGGAUUAUACUUUGGAUUGGAAUAUACAUCAGUAUACUCCAAUCCUAAUUAAUAAUGAAGUCAAAGAAGUAGUUGCCACACCCAAAAUUGCUGAAAUUUCUACUGAAGCAGGUUACGAUAUUUCACCACAAGUUUUGAAAGAAAUUAAUGCUCCUGAUCAGCCUCUUAGUUGUGAUUGCAUAAGGCCCACAUAGAUGAUGGAUUAUAAGGUAACAACAAUUCUUGUUAAUGAAGAUUCCCCACAUUUCUUUGUUUGUAGACUGUGAUCCUACAACUUUUGAGAAUGCUGUCAAAGAGGAGAAAUGGAGAAAAGCUCACUACUACAAAAAUCACUUUUAGCGGCAAUUACUUAAUGGCAAUAAUAUAAAUGCCGCUAAAUUAUCUUUUAUAAUCCAUUAUUAGCGGCAAUUGACCAUUAGUCAGUAAUAAUUGACCCAUUAACGACAAUUAUUUUUUACUUAAAGAAAUAACUAAUAGACCAUUUCAUUAAGAGAAUACCUUUUAUUCCAAAAUACCCCCAACAUUCUGUACAGGGCUAUAGCUAAACACAUUUCACUCCAAAACCCCCCAAAAUUCUAAAAAAAAGGCAAUUCCAAAUUAUCGACGUCUUCAUCUGAAGCGCAAUCCGAGAUUCACCACAUUGGCAUGAAUCACCAUCAAUUUCUCUGAAGCUUCAUCUUCUUUGUCUUCGACUUCAUCGUUUGUAUCUCCAUUUUCUUCAUCCGCCAUCAACUUUCGCAAUCCUUUGUCACCUCUUCGAGGUACGCCGCAUAUUGUUUAUUUUUUUUUAAUGUGAUUAGAUGAUGAUGAAUGUUUUUUGUAAGAGUGAUGAAAUUACCAUAAAUAAGAACUGCACUCUUGCAAUGAAGUUAUAGUUUGCUGAGAUAGAGUUGUACUUUGUAUAUGGCGUGUUGUGAUAAGCUCGAUCUGUAAAUAAUUUUGCUCUGUAUUUGCCUUUGCUCUAUUUCAGUUUGCUUGGUAUAUAAUGCAACAAUUUGUACCUUGCUUAAUGCAAUCAUUGUCUAUUUUAUGAUUUUCUUUUUCAAAUCAUGCUUUUACUAAUAUGGUUUUUUGGUGUAUGACUAUAAAAUCAUGAUAUAUGAGGAUUAGUAUAUGUAGUGUCCAGAGAGUUGUGAUCUAUGCAUUGUACUAAGCUCUAAUUCGUUAAUUUGUGCUCUAUGCAUUGUACUAAUCUCUAAUUCGUUAAUUCGACUCCUUUUAGAUUUCGCUUUCUCAAAACUUGAAUUUGAUUUGAUUAGCCUAAUAUAGCUUUGAUGAAGAACAUAGCUUAGAAAAUCUGUAUAUAUUAAUUAGAUUUUGUUUUCUUUUGAAUUUAGCUCGAGAAGAUGAGUUAAAAUUCUCUGUAGCUUAGAACACUAUUUAAAAUUUCAUAACAAAACUAAGAGCAGCCUCUUGCAGGUGUGUUUCCAUUGUUGUUUCCUUUAAUAGUUUGGUUGCAAGUUUUCACAUAUUAGUAUGUAUAUGCCUAAUUCGUAAGCAUGCCAUUGAAAAAUCAUGAAAUUUGUCUAAUAAACUUGUACCAGAGAACCAACAGGGCAUAAUAAAACUUGUGUUCUCUGCAAUUGCUAGGUGCAGUAACAUGACAUCUUGUUGACAUUUCUCCAGGAAGCCUCCUCUUGUCACUUAUCCCAGCUUCCAAUAUUCUACAGCCUCUUAGAUUCAUCAUCUAAUGAUCUGAUGUUGCUUGCAUAGUAAAUGAAAUAUCCAAUCUCUUGUGCAACUGUCUGGAUCAAUAAAUCUAUGACCUUUUCCACAACUUGAGAUAAGAAUUGGAACAUUCCGGUUCGUGAUGUAUUACAGUAAAGUUAGUAAAAUGUAUUUUUCUUUUAGAGGUUUGAAGAAAAAUAGAUAAGUAGUUGAGUUUGAAGUACGAAAAAUGCAAACUAGACUUGGUAGCAGAUUGAUAAUGAACAACGUCUUGAUGAAGAAGUGCAGUCUUAUAUUCAGGAAUUAUUAAAAGCUCAGAGUUGCUUUCGACCCCAAAUAUCUGAAGAUAACAAUUCUAUUGGCUCCAUUGAUGAACUGAACAAUGAGCCAGGUUCUCUCUUGUUUUAUUGAUGAUAAAUCUUGUCAAGUUUGGAGAUGUCUCAGGUAUUCUGAAAAAGACGUUACUAUUACAUGGCUUAUACUCAUUCAUCCGGUCAUAUAUAUAUAUAUAUAUAUAUAUUUGUUGAAUUAUUGGUCAUUGUUGAUAUCAAGCUUAGAAAUUGUACUUUAUUCUUUUUCUGUUGACUGCCAUAAAGCGAGUGUUGAAUCUUUAAAUAAAGUUCGUGGAUUAUUAAAAGAUUUUGGAAUCUACCCUUGGGAAAGACAAUUGUUGUGCAAUUUAAUAGUCGUAAUCAAUCAAUUGGAAAAGAGGGUCGAAAGCUUGCUCGCUUUCUAGGCAUCAUUGCUAGAAUCCCAGAUUUGACACCAUUAAAUGCAAAUGAUUGGCGAGUGUUUGACGAAGAAGAAAAGAAAAAAUUGGUGGAGUUUGUGAGGAAAAAAUUCUCAAUUCCAAUACAUGGAGAAGAGUUUGUGAAAAAGUCAAUAGGAAAAAAAUGGAGGGACUAUAAAUGUGACUUAAAGGCUAUGUAUGUGACCAAUUAUAAGACAAAGAUGCCUUGAUGAAAAAUAGACCAAGUCACAUACCAAGAGAUCAAUGGAGUUGUCUCAUCUCGUAUUGGCUUUCUGAAAAAGCAAAGGCUAUAGAUGGAAUAGAGCCUACACGUGCAAAAGUCUACAUAUUAACUCUUACAAAACGCAAAGAUGAUGGACCAUUGGAUGAGGAGUCUUCAAAUGUAGUUUCUUCAUUAUUCUAAGAACAUGAUGAAAGAGAAGUUGAGUAAUGGUGAGACAUCUGAGGAACAAUCACAUGACAAUGUUGCCUGGGAAGGAGAUGUGUAUUAUCAAGUGUUGGGAAAUGAAAAAAGUGGUUAUGUUCGUGGUUUAGGACUUGGUCCAACCCCUUCUCUGUUAUGGGGCAGUAAGUCUUUCAUACGAAAUGUUGUUGUUGAUGAUUUGUGUGAUGAGGCCGAUAUACACAUAAGCUAGAACAAGAAAUAAAUGAGUUGAAAGUGUUGAACAAAAACAGGAUGAAGAAAUGUCUUCGAUGAGAAAAAAUCAAGAAAUGCUACUCUCAGAAUUAUCAUGGAUGAGACAAGUUAUGUGGAAAUAUUCUCCUACUGAAUUAAGUCGGCCUCAAAACAAUGAAAGAACUACUAGACAGGUUUCUGAUGCCAAUAGUGGCAAUGAACAAGCAAUAUAAGCACGGCUCAAGUCGUUACUGGCCACAAGUUCUUUCUUCUUGUUGGUAGUUUGGUUGGCAUGAUAGAGAAAAAUGAGAAAUUGCAUGGAUUGUGGAAAAAAAUAGUACUCAUUGUCUUGAUUCGGAAUGUCAUCAACGUAUCAUCUGUGACAUUGGUCGUGAUCCAAGUUGCCAUAGUUUGACUGGGGGAAAAAGAAAUAAUGGUUCAAUCUCUUUGUUUGUCUAUUGUUGAACAAAUUCUCUCUAUUUUUGAAUACUUGACUGCAUUCUUAUUGUUUUGAUGAUUCAUAUUUUGUCAUACUGCUAGAAGACAGACGGUGGAUGUAUUGAUUGUUCUUAUAUGUGAUAAUGUUUGAGUUCGAUAAUUUUUGCAUUA